ensembl:lncRNA
GCUUAACUGGCAGUAAAUAUCCAGAGGUCAUAGCUUUUAGCAUAACUUUGAAAAUAAAUGAAAAAAGUAACUGAAUAAAAUCAUUAUUAAUGAUGGAAAAGAAACACAGAAGAUCAGCCUCAUAAUAUUUUAAAGUCAUGUGGUGAGCAGUUUGCUUGACCAUACUCUGUCCAUGCUGUACUACCUCUCCACAGGCUGAGGAAAAGCUGGGCCAAUUGAACAAGGACCAAAGCCUCCUAAACUGGCUGCAAAGAUGAUGAUCAAACAACUAAUCUAAUGAAGAAGAGGCCAACACUCUGGAGAAGAGAUAAGCCUGCCUGGAAGAGUUGACUACUCCAAGGAAAAACAGGCCUCUUGAAGUCCACAGCUGAGCAAAGAGGCUGGAGAUGGAUCAAUGAGCACUGCAACAUGCCUGGUGUUGUUCCUUUUACUGGAUGACAGUGCUGGUGUCAGCAUCAAGGCCGAAUAGAGCUGCUGCUGAAUCCAUAGAGGGAAGAAACUCCUUCUGCACCAGAAGCAGGACCACAGUUGGCAAGCCUACUGCAAAGACAGGGGCCUUUAUUUUCCAAAUGGACCUCUUCAGUCUUGGGCUCCAUCAGGGUUUUGCAGUCUCCUACACAAAUAUAAAUUUCCCACACAGAUGCUUUUGUACUUGGAUGCCUUCCAAGUCACUGAUUAUAGAGCGAUGGACGGGUGACCUCCUUUUCUACCAUCUUGCUGAUGCCAUCUCUUAACUAUUUUUAUGCUUAUAAGAUGGAGCCCCAAUAUGAGGCUUGUCACAAUCUGUAUCUGUCACCUCAAGUGAAUGAACAGCUUUCCAAUAUGUUCUUGACAGCACAACUUCAACCAUGUGGGAGGAUCUGGGAACAGCCUGAUUGACACUUCAAAAAUCCCUUAUCACCUCCACAGUGAUUCGAAUGCUGCUGAAGAGCUCAGGUGUUCCAUGAUUGUGAGUGUUAACUGUUUCUGGACUGAUUUUUAAAAAUCUAAAUAACAUUGAGAAGACUUUUUAUUUUGAAGUAUGUAAUGCAACUUUGAAAUAGAUAAAAUAGUAAAUUGAAUUUCAAACUUACUUCUUAAUUUAUCAAUUCAAUUUGUGUGGAGAUGUUACUUCUAAUAUUUACAGCCAAAAUAUAUUGUAUUGAAGAUGAAUGACCAAUUUAUAGGCUCUUUACAUGCUUACUACAUAGGGUAAAACUUUACAUAUUUUUACAAUUUAAAUUUAGAACAGAUAAUAUCAGACUUUUUUGGAAAGUUUACUUAUAUUUCUUUUCUGUAAUUACUGUGAAUUUUAAUAGCUAUGUCUGUGAGUAAUUUUCAACUACUUAAGCAGUGAAUGUUGAUUUUUAAGUGUAAAUUCAGUUGUACAAUAUAACCCACAAAUUUAAAUUUAUCACCUCUGAAUCACUUAACUGAUCUAGUUUGAUCCUUUCAUAGUUCAUUAACAUUUGCCUUGUAACAAAAUGAGGAAAUUGGACAGUGUAUAUACUUAUGAACUACAAGGAUUUCAAAUAAAAUCCCAUGAUAAAGAAUGUUGGUGAGGGGAGUGAAAAGGCCUUAAAAGAUGCAUGCACGCUAUCUUGAUAUAUUUCAUAAUGUAAGGUUUGCUAAAGGUUCUUUUAUAAAUGUACUGGUGAGGUUAGUGAUGGUAAACUUUUAGAGACAAGGGCCCAAACUGCAACCCAAAAUCCACUGGAAUUAAACUGGAACACUGAGGUUUUAAUUUAGGAAAAUAAAACCUCACACAUUAACGUCUUUUAUCUCAAAGCACAAACAAAUGGCAUGUGUGCUAUAGGUUUGCCACCAAUGGCAUAUGUAAUAGGUAUUGUAUAAAUUAAUGCAGAUAUUUGAUCACUAUGCAGGGCCAUAAAUAUAAAACCAUAAAUAAAUAAAUAGAUAAAAAUCAAUAUGAUAAGGGAAGUUAGAGAAAUAUUAUAAAUAAUAAACUUUAAUUUACAUAUUUCACUAUUCAUUUACAGUACAGAACACUUUAAAUAGCUAAUAUAGUUCAACCACUAAGGUAUGUAAAAAAUUCAAAAUAAAUAUAUUUAUGCACAACAACUACAACUAAAGAAUGAUAUGGUUGAGAAGUAAUAUUUUUUAAUUUUUAGUAACAAAAUACAAUAUAUUAUAGCAUUUAUAAUUAUAUAUUCUUAUACCAAGCAUAUAGAUAAACUGAAAUAUUUAAUUGGAAGAAGGGUAGGGGAAGAGGAUAAAAAAAUAAAAAUAAAAACAUGUGUCAUAUACAUGUACCAGCUCCCCAGGAGGAAUAUAAUGAUUAUGUACUCCAAAUUAGUACCAAUAAAAAAUUUUAAACAUAUUAUAAAUAGGACACUGAGCAUGUAGAUAAAAUACAAUGAGAGGAAAGAGGAGGGAAGGGAGUGGAAGUAAAAGGAUUUAGAAUGUGUUAUGUACGAAUAUUUACUCUGAAGUUGUCACCUAAGGAUGAAUAUCAUUUUCCUAAAUCCACCUACAGGAUCUUGCUAACAUGGAAAAAAGUAAAUGAUGGGAAGGUUUUUCUUCAUUUAUAACACCAAAAAUAACUUAUAAAUGGGAAGGCAAUAUGGUAGCUUUGAAUUUUUGGUGAUAUAAUUUGUCCUUCCUUAUAAUAAUACUCUUACAUGUAAACCAUAGGAAUGUAUCGACGGUAACCAGGAGACCUCCGCAGCUAUCUUCCAGUUAAUUAAUUCUAUUUCCUAUUCAAAAGAAGCCUUUAAUUACUAGAAUAAAAAUAUUGUUGAACAUUUCUGUAAUGAAAAGUGUUUCCUAUCUAUCACUCAUCCUUUAGUUUCUCUCCCUAUAUAAAUUGGGCUUGAAAAGCUAUAUUCCUCAUGUUAUACACAUACUUGCAUAUGAUUUUCAGGACUUCAAUAUGUAGUUCUCUUGUUUUGGCUUUGAGUUUUUCCUUCUUAGAAUUAAAUGUAAAGACUAGCCCUGUUUUUUCUCAACCAUUUAGGAAAGAAUUCUUCCUAAUAAUUGACAUAUACGUAUAAUUUUGAUCUAUUCAUUUUUUGAUAUCUAUAUAAGGUCAUUUAACAGAAUCACAUGGAUGGAAAAAGUAUAUUUCAAUAGGCUAUUCUACAUAAACAUUACAAAUGGAGACUUUUUUCACUGUAAAACAAGGUUUUUCAGUGUUAGUUGGUCAGUGUAAAAACAUAUAUAAACAAUUUAGAAACUAAAUGACUAUGGAAAAGCUUGGCACAUUUAUUCAUGUACUUAUUAUUUUAAAGUAUUGUGGAACAGAGAAGAAGAAAAUUAACAAGUUCUUAGUGCUUUUUUGUUAUUUCACAUUAGUUAUUUGAAGAAUAGGCUAGAAAUGAUGCUGUACAAAAAUAUGGCACAAGCUAUUGAUUUUCCCCUUUAAUUCUUCAAGUACAAUUUUUUCCUCAUUUAUAAACAUGAUUUCCUAAGUCACCCUAGUAUUCUGGGUACCAAUAGUAAAAGCAUCAGUGAUGAUUUUUUUAAAUUAAAGAACUAAUGGUAUUAAUCUGGUAUGGUUCAAUUGGGAGAAUUAAUAUUGUCAAAAUGCUCAAACUACCAAAAGCAAUAUAUAGAUACUAUGAAAUCCCUAUUAAAAUAUUGACAUUCUACACAGAACUGCAAAAGCAAUAUUGAAAUCAGAAAAGACUCAGGAUAGCCAGAGUGAUCCUGAGUAAAAAAAUAAAAGCAAUGCUGGAGGCAACAUUACACCAAGUGACAAGCCUUACUAUAAAGCCAUAGUAAGUAAACAACAUGGCACUGGCACAUAAACAGAAAUGUAGACCAAUGAAGAAACAGGAAAAAACCAAAACAAAAUUUACAACCAUCUCAUUUUUCACCUGGGAAAGUAAAAUUGGAUAGAACACAUUCUCUUUAAAAAGGUGUUAUAAAAACUAGAGAGCCACAUCUAGAUAAUUGAAAGUAGAUCUCUAUCUAUCUCCCUAUACUAAAUGGAAAUUAAGGUGGAUUAAAAUCUGGAUGUAUAGAUAAAAAAAAAAUGAGACUGCUGGAAGACAACCUAGGGGAAACCUUUGAAGCUACAGGCACAGACAAAGACUUCCUGAACAGGAAAUAAUUAUCAAGAAUCAACAAAUGGAACUUCAUCCAAUUAAAAGACUUCUGCGUGGUACAGGAAAUAAUGAACAGAAUAAAGAGACAACCCCCUGAAUGGUAGAAAAUCUUUCAUAACCACUCCUCUGAAAAAGAAUUAAUAUGUAGAAUAUGAAAAGAAUUUAAUAAUUAAUCCUCAUAAAACACUGAAUCUAAUAAAGAAGUGGGAAAAAAAUAGAAUAGAUACUUCUCAAAAGAAGAAAUUCAAAUGGCCAAAAACUGUAUGAAAAAAUGUUAAACAUCUAAAGUCUUCAGAGAAAUGCAAAUUAAAACUACAUUUAGAUUCCACCUCCGGGUAGAGUAGUUAGCAUUAAGAAUACAAAAAUAAUAAAUACUAGCAAGUAUGCAGGUAAAAACGAACCCUUUUAUAUUGAUGGUGGGAAUGUAAACUAAUGGAUCUACUAUGAAAAUGAAUAUUAAAAAUUCUCAAAAGACUAAUGUACAAAUAUGACUUAUCCCAGGUAUACUACUUUUGGCCACAUUCCUUAGGGAGUUAAGAACUACAUACUAUAGUGAUACAUGCAUACAAGUUUUUAUUUAAAAUAAUGUUUUUAUUUAAAUAAUAAUGUCUUAGUAGUGAAGCAGUUAAACAGCCUACAUACCCACCAAAAGAUGAAUGAAUAAAGAAAAUGUGGUAAAUGUACACAACGGAAUACUACUCAGCCAUAAAGAAGAAUAUCACAUCAUUUGUAGGAACAUGGAGAGAAGGAGAAGCCAUUAGAAUGAAUGAAAUUAUCCCAACUCAGAAAUUUAUUAAACAGCACAUGUUUUCUUUUAUAUAAUAACCUAGAAGUAUAUAAUAUGACACCAUAAAUAAUAAUUAAAGAAGAAAUGGCAAGAAACCAGAUAGUAGAUUUCUUGAGAAGAAGGAAGUGGAUAAAUGUCAGGGAGAAAGAAAAGGAGGAAGAAGAGUAUUUAAAUUGACUAAAAUGUAUUAGAUACAUGUGCCACCUUCCCAAAAUACACUCCACCAUUAUGUAAUAUUAAUAAAAUAGAAUUCAUAAAAUAGAAUUUUAAAUGUCCACACAUAUAAAGUAAAAUACAAUACAGUAUUUUCUCCCUUCCACCUAAUGAAAUAUAAUAAAAAUGAACUAGUUGCCACAAACAGCAAGGUUUCUAUUGCCUUUUUAUUUGAAAAGAUUUCAAUAUAUAUCAUAAAAGCAACCACAGAGAGUAAAAGUGGAAGAUACUGAAACGCUUUAUUGACAGUAUUCACAUCACUCUAAUUUGUCCUGUGCUCCUUUUUUUAUAUACACUCGGAAGAGUAUGUUAUGUUAACAGACCAAUAAUGCUGAUAUUUUGGUAUAUAAUUUAAAUUAAUAAAAAUUUUAUAUUCAUAGUAUAUAUGUUACAUGCUAAAUCACAUAAAAUAAACUGCUAUAUUUUUGGUACGUAAGCAUUUACUUUCUGUGGAGUAGCUACUAAAUAACUUUAAAAUAAUGAGAAAACUGCUGAUACACAUUAUUAAAGUAGAGAAAGAAAAGACAGAACAAAAGAAAGGAAGGACAGGAGGAAGAAGUAUGAAGGAAGGCAAAAAAAAAAGACCCUCCCUUUUGAAGGCAAAAGGAAAGUCUCACAUGAAAUUUGCUGCACUAUGUUUGAGAUCAGAAUGUAAAUAUAACAAGACAAGAAAACACAAAAGUAAACUUUAGAUAUAUGAUAAGAAUGAUUAAAUAAUUAACUUUCUAAUCAAUUGUUUUAUAAGAUGUUUGACAUGUAUUUUCUUAAUUACAUGUAUAUUAGUAUUAAAAUUAUAAACAUAUGAGACAACAUGGACCUUAUGUAAUAUUUUAUAUAGUAAAAAUCUAAAAUUAUAUAGAUCAAAUAUAAAACAUUGAUAUAUACAAGCAAUUAAGAAAAAUGUCAGUGUCUUUGGGUUCAAAACUAUGUCUUGAGAAAACCACAAUGAAUAGUCACAACAAAUGUGUCUCAUGUCAUCUCUAUUAAGAGGGAUGUUGUGGUCAGACAGACAUCAUGGGCCAUUUCUAUUAUAUUAUGGUAGGAAAAGAUUCUGGUCAAAGACACUUCAUGUGAAAUACAAUGUUACACUACAGCCUUCUUAACCUCUUUUUAAGGUAAUAUGAGAUAUAACAUACAAAAUGUCAGGUUUGCAAUUAAAGUAUUCAAGCUGGUAAAUAGUGGAGUUCCCAUAUAUAAUUUAGAAUCUCUGUGAUUCAUGUUUAUAGUCUGUAAUAUUAUAAAAACUUGUAUUUAGUUAGUAGUUAGUAUUAAGUCAUUAAGUAUUCAUGUAAAAGUGAGUAAUUGCCUUAAAAUUAGGAGCUGUUCUGUUAAGGUUUAUCUGUAGAAGCUAUCCAAAUGAAGAAAACUGGUGAAAUUGUUUGCUACCAGGGACAGAAAGUAGAUUAAUAUAUCUGUAGUAUCCCAUGCCAAAGGAGGAGGAAUGUGGCUUUUCAAGCAGGUAUUUUUAAUGAUGUCCAGGGUCAUCUCUCCCAAAGUAAGAAGCUCAAAAUUCCUCCAUGGGUGUUGGUAUGUAGCCAUUGUUUAUAACAGUGACACAAUUUGGGUGAACAUAUUUCUUAGAAAGGUCAUCUUUGAUGCUGAAGAUAAGAAUUCUUAGGUAAUAAUUAUAUUCAGAUUUAAUGAGAAUCUAAAUUAAAGAAGUUUUAUCAGGGGACACUGCAUGAAUAAAUUGAUAAAAUUUUCAAAUUACAAACUUGGAUUUGUAAUCCCUCUUCUAUAGUGAGCAAAAGGAGAGAAAUGAAUAUAAAAUAUUUAGUGGUUGUCUUUGGUUAAAGUGAGGAGUAAUUGCUCAUGACUUUCAGACAAAUUCUUUUGCUUUUUGUUCUGCACUACAUCACUUACUACUUCUUCCAGAUAACGUGUUUGCAUUAACCAAUAAGAAAAGUUAGUGCAAGGAAUUCCAGACUCAUUUAUUUCUGCAUAAAUCAGGCAUAAAUGCCUCUGUUUUGCUUGAAACAAUUACAAUGUUAUGGAGUGCAUUUGUCUGAAUAUACUUUUUUUGCUUUCUAUGUAUUUCUAUAUAUAUAUUUCUCCACUCAACAAAAGAUGGUCCCUGUUACAAAGAACAUUGCUCCUUGGGUUUCACACUUGGCUGUAAGCAAUGUCACCCAGUGAUUAAACACCACAUUUAGAAUCAAACAGCUGUGUUUCAUAGAGGAUAGCAUCCAAUGCUGAAACAUUGUCUUUCUAACUUAACUCUAAAUUGGAGGAAUAUCACUCAUGUUUUUCAUUAUGUGACUAUGAUUAGGCCUUACUAACCAGAGUCCCAAUAGUAGAAAUAUCUGUCUUUACAGUUCUCUUUUACAUCCAUGGAUUUGUGAGGGUAGGGUGAUUUGAAUAAUUAAACAUAAUUAAAAACUUUCACACUUCAUCUUGUACAUAUCUUGUUUGAUUUCUAAGUCUAAACAUUAUUUGCUGGUCAAAUUGGAAGUUUAGAUUAUAACCAAUAACCCUGCUUGGAUUGGAAGUAUGAGUUCCGUACUGCAAGCCAGUUUCACUAAAGAACCCUGUGCUGAGUUAUUGGUGGUGCCAAGUCAUCAGAUAGUAAUAAAAUAUUGGUCAGCAUUUCCACUUAUCAAUGACAUCAGUGAAUAUAGUUCCUUCCAUACCCCAUGAAAAUGAAUUAUGACCAGUUCAAAGUGUAAUUCAGGAAUUUCAGAUUACUUUGCAAUAAAAACUGUACUAUCUUUUCUAACAUAAUACUACAUUUAAUAGUAAAGCUCACCAAUGUGGUAGACAGAUUUUUAAAACACUUUAUACUUUUGUAAUCACUAUUGGUCUGACUUUGCCUUACUUAUAGUUGAAAUGUUUUUUUAGUUACUUGGCAUUGUCCUGCAUUUCACCUAUCUGGGAAUCAACCUUGCUUGAUAAAUAUUGUUAAUUGCCAGUUUUCACUACUUCGAAUUGGGAACUACAAAAAAUAGUAAAAAGUAUAACAGUGAAAUGAAGCAGAGCAUGUAAGGUUCUUGGUACAGCAUUACAAUUACAAUUAAGUAUUUAAUUAAAAGUUGCGUAUUACUACUUAAGGGAUAUAGGUAUCCAAAAUUAGACUUUGAAGCAAAUCUAAUCAUAAUCUUUGAAGUGAUUUUGAGAAAUGAACAUUUUGAGGCAUAAUAAUCGACAACAAAAUAUAGGUUUUGUAACAACAUGGUGUUUUGAUGUGAAAGAAUUAUCAUAUUCAAGUUAAGUAACACAUCCAUCACCUCACGUAGUUACAUUUUGGGAUGUACUGGUGAUAAGAGUACUUCAUGUUUGCUGCCUUAACAAAUUUUGAGUAUACCAUAAAUUAUUAUUUUCAGUAAGAAUCAUGGUGAGUAUUAUGUCUCCAGAACUUCAUCAUAUAACUGCAAGUUUGUACUCUUUGACCAAUAACUCCCUAUUUACUCCACCCUUGGAACUUGGGAACCAUACUUCUGUACUCUGCUUGAAUGAGUUUGACUCUUUUAGAUUCCGUGUAUAAAUGAAGUUAUACAGCACUUAUCUCUUUCUGUGUCUGGCUUAUUUCAUUUAGCAUGAUGUACUUGAGGUUUGUACAUGUUGUCACGUAUGGCAGGGUUUUUUUAUAUGGUUAAAUAGUAUCGCACUGCUUGUCUGUGUGUGAGAUUUUAUUUAUCCAUUCAUCUGUCAGUAGUCACUUAUAUCGUUAGCAUAUCUCUUUCAGCUAGUGGUUUUAUUUUCUUUUGGUAUAUAUUCCUAGAAGAGGGAAUGCUGAAUCUUAUAGAAGUUCUAUUUUUAAAUUGAUAAACCUCUGUCUUUUUUUUAAUAGUGGCUGUAUCAAUUUACAUUCUUACCAAAAAUUCUAUGGAUUCCCUGCUAAUUGUUAUUAGCUCUUGAAAUUUUAAUAAUAGCUAUGUUAAGACAUAGGAGAUGAUAUCUCAUUUUAGUUUGAACUGAGAUGUUAGGUCCAAUUUCACAAACCUGUUGGCCUACACUAUAUCCUCUUUGGAAAAGUGCCCAUAAAAGUCCUUUACCCAUUUUUUAAAAUUGGAGUAUUUGUUUGCUUCUUAAAUGGAUACUCAGUUGUAUGAAAUAUUUAAAUAUAUUGGAUAUGAACUACUUACUGUAUAUAAUCUUUGCCAAUACUUUCUACUACUUGGUGGUUUGCCACUUCAUUUUCUAGGGUGUUUCCUUUGCUUUGCAGAAAUGUUUUAGUUUGAAUUAAUUAUAGUUAUAGUUAACUGCGGUGUCAACUUGAAUAAGAAAUACCAAGGUGAUUGGUUCAAUAGAGUUCUACUCGUGGAUGAUGGAUUUACUGAAAAGGGAAGACUAACCCCGGUUAGGGUUGGCACCACAUGGGGUUGUAGCAAAGAUGGAAUAAAAAGAGAAAUAAGGAAGUCUUGCUUCUGUUCCUUCAGAGGAGCUCCAAUCAUUGCCUUCACCUUUCAAUAUCUGUCUACAGGCUUCUAGGGCAAGCUCCUCAGCAUUUCACAGCAGACUUUUCAGUCUGUCAGUGCAGACUCUUCGGUUUCCUGAUACAGACUCACAUGGGACUCUGCAGUGAGUGCCAGGCCUUCAGCUUUCCACUGGAUCCUUUGGAUCUCCAGACACCCCAAUUAUGUUCCUCACUAAUUCUGUUCUCACUAACAUCUGACUCUGUAGACUGCCAUUGUGCACCUACCUCGAUCUAUCUAUCUAUCUAUCCAUCGCGUAUCUAUCAUCUUAUUUUACAUCUGUUCCUAUCCUGAACAAAGACUUAUACAAUUACACAUAUUUAUUAUUCUUUUGUUGCCAGUGCUUUCUGUGAAAAUCCAAAAAGGUAACAUUGCUAAAACUAAUUUCAUAGAAAAAUUUCCCUUUGUUUUCUUCUAAGUAUGGUUUCAUGUCCUAUGAAACCUAUGUCCUAUUUGACUUUCUAAAUCUUUCUGAGUUGGGUUUUUUGUAUGGGCUGUGCUAAGGAUUAAACUUUAUGUUUGACAAGUGGAUUUCAAUCCCAUUUACUGAAGAGACUAUCCCUUUCUAGUUGUGCAUUGGUACAUUUCUUGAAGUUUGGUUGACCAUACACGUAGAGCAUUUUUCUGGACUUUCUAUUCUGUACCAUUGGAUUGUAAUAUAUCUUGCUGAAGUUCUUUAGGCAUUAAACUUGCCUGGAGAUAUUUAAUCUUCAACAACCUUAAUUUCCAUGUUUAUCAACAGAUUUGGAAAGAUUUCAGCUAUUACUUCUUCAUGUAGGCUUUUAAACUCAUUUGCUCUCUUCCUUUUAUGAAACUCUUGUGAUACAUGUAUUACUUCGAUGUUUUUACACAAAUCCAUUGCCUUUCUUAAUUUUUUCUCAUUCAUAUUACAUUUUCUACUCUGAACAGAUAAUUUCAAAUGACCUGUCAUUGAAUUUGUUGAUUAUUUUUUCUGAUUGAGCAAGU